GCUGAUUUUGGAUUAAUUGGGGGCAGAGGCGGGCACCAAGGAGGAGCCGCUGGCAGCCGAGCUGAUCAAUCCCCUGGCGCUGCGGCAGCGCGAGGAGAUCCGCGAGAAGCUGGCGGCGGCCAAGGAGAAACGGCUGCUGAACCAGAAACUGGGGAAGGUGAAGACGCUGGGGGAGGAGGAGCCCUGGCUGGACGACGCGGCCGCGUGGAUCGAGCGCAGCCGGGCGCUGCAGAGGGAGAAGGAGCUGGCAGAGAAAAGGGCCAAGCUGCUGGAGGAGAUGGACCAGGAGUUCGGGGUCAGCCCCUUGGUGGAGGAGGAGUUCCAGCGGCGCCGGAGGGAGCGUUACAGCGCCCGGGACCUGCAGGGGCUGACGGUGGAGCACGACCCGGCCUCGAUCCCCGAGGGACAAACGCUGGUGCUGACCCUCAAGGACAGGGGUCCGUGGGGACAUGGGGACAUUGGGGACAUGGGG